ensembl:lncRNA
CAAGCAUUCUCUACAGAAAUAAGGGCUGAGAUAAGAUCAUGACUUUGUGGUCCAUGGCUCCUGAUAACACAGUCUCUUCUAGGGACCACAGAAGGGGCCUCAGUGUCAAGCUGCAAACUCUGGUGGCUCCUCAGUGGUUUGGCCUUUUGUCCAUUCACUCAUCCAAUGGUCAUGUCUUCUAUAUUUUCACCCAUUCAUUCUUCCACCCUCCCAGUUACACCUUCUUUCAGACCCUCCCUUCCUUCCUUCCUCCUUUCUUUCCUUCUUCCCUUCCUUCCCUUCCUUCCUCCUCCUUUUGUCCCCUCCUUCCUUCCUUUCCUUCCUCCCUUCCUUCCUUUUAUCCAUCCAUCCGGCUAUCCUUCUGUCCAUUCACCUAGUUCUCCUUUUUCUGUUCUGUCUUCCCAUUCAUCUCUCAAUCUUUCUUCCUUGUGUUUAUUCCUCCUUCCUUAUCUCGGACCCUCCUUUUGUCCAUUCAUCCUCCUUUAUUCGGGUAUCCCAUAUGUCAUCCACAUUUCUGCUCCUCCAUCUAUCUUUGUAUACCCACUCUUGAGCUCUUGGAUUCAUUUCAUUCACAGGCUGGCUUUUCCCUCAACUCACAAAUCAUUCCUUCCCUCACUCUCAUUAAUGGUACACCUAUGAAUGGUUGUCCUUGGAAAACCACUUGUGGAGCCCGGGUGAGGCUGGGGGGCUUCUUCCUCUCUGUGAGGGGCUCCGUCUAACCCUGAUGACUGCCCCUUCGACAGCACCUGAGCCAACCACCACACUCCUGCCUACAUUAUCAACAUCUGUGCAACCAGAAUCCGCCACAGCUGUGGGACACAACCUGAAGACCUUCACACUCAACUUCACCAUCUCCAACCUUGUGUAUUCAGCAGACAUGAGCCAUGGCAUGGCCAUGUUCAACUCCACCGAGAGGGUCCUGCAGCGCCUGGUGAGAUGCUGGUUCCAGGCACCCCUGGUGGGAUCAGCCCUCCCACCCCCCAACUUCUCCCUCAACCCCUGUCCUUUUUCUGCUCAUCGUCCUUCUCCUACCUCCCCAGCUUGGAUCCUUGCUCCAGAAGAGCAGCCUGGGCACCUUCUACUCAAAUUGCAGACUGAUCUCCCUCAGGUAAGACCUUUUCCUGAGCAUUUGCCAGUAAGGACCACUUUUCGUGGCCAUCCCUUUCUCAGUCUUCCCACUGACCUCCCAUUUGCUUCUGCCUCUUUCUGGCCUCACAUCCAGAGGUUUCAAGACCUCUCUCAAGAGUUCCCAUUGUUUUUUGUUUGUUUGUUUUGUUUCUUAUUUUUUUGGCCUGUACCACAGCCACAGCAACACCAGAUCCAAGCCAUGUCUGCGACCUACACCAUAGCUCACAGCAAUGCCAGAUCCUUAACCCACUGAGCAAGGCCAGGGAUCGAACCUGCAUCCUCAUGGAUGCUAGUCAGGUUCACUAACCAGU